UGGGGAAUUUUGGACAAUGGGCGCAAGCCUGAUCCAGCCAUGCCGCGUGCGGGAAGAAGGCCUUCGGGUUGUAAACCGCUUUUGUCAGGGAAGAAAUCCUUUGAGCUAAUACCUCGGGGGGAUGACGGUACCUGAAGAAUAAGCACCGGCUAACUACGUGCCAGCAGCCGCGGUAAUACGUAGGGUGCAAGCGUUAAUCGGAAUUACUGGGUGUAAAGCGCGCGCAGGCGGUUAUGCAAGACAGAUGUGAAAUCCCCGGGCUCAACCUGGGAACGGCAUUUGAGACUGCAUAGCUGGAGUGCUGCAGAGGUAAAUGGAAUUCCACGUGUAGCAGUGAAAUGCGUAGAUAUGCGGAGGAACACCGAUGGCGAAGGCAAUCCCCUGGACCUGCACUGACGCUCAUGCACGAAAGCGUGGGGAGCAAACA
rnacentral:rRNA from 1 species